GAUCAGGAUCGGCACCGCCCGCAGCCCCGGCUCCGGCUUUUUUUUCCCUCUGCACCUGGUUUCGACUCCCGGCAGAUGAAACUCUUGUACUGUGAGUGGCAGUGAAAGGUAAUGAUUGCCUAGCGUGAAACACAGGAAAAAUCCCUGGAGCCUGAGCUGGGAUCCAAACUCCUCUCUGCACUACCAGGGCCUGCCAGCAGGCCAUAGCUGUGCUGUGCAAGAGCUGCUGCUGCCCGAGCUCUCUUCUGCAGGGAAAGGAGGAAGGCAUGCCCACAUGAGGAGCUGUUCCUCCAGUACACUGCAGAAGCCAGCUUGGGUUUCCAGACUGAGCAUACAGAUUCUAUGGAGUCAUUUUACUUGACUGUGGUGACAUACGGGAUGCAUCUGCUCAAGUCACGUUAUCCACCUCUGCCUCUGCUAGCACUCUUUGACCCAAAUACUCCUGCCUGUGCUACUGCUGAGCCUUGUGUGCCAGAGGGAGGCCACCUGUCGUUCUGCGGCAAUGGGAGGUGUUCAGCUCACAGUGCAAGGGAACGCUGCUUUCUCAGCUGUCAUCAAGUUAAGGUGUUGAUUACAGAUGUCACUUGAAUUCAGCAAACAAUAUUUGGCUUACCCUUUCAUUCACUGCAAAGGAGUUUGCCUGUUUCUACAAACCAUAACUGCUGGUCAAGUGAAGUUAACAAGGCUUUUAGGUUUAUUGCGCUUUCCCCCCAUUUGUACACAUGCUCUAGAUAAAAAAUAGUGAGGUUUUAGCAGUUAGGUUCAAAAGCAUGUUUUCUUAAUCUUCAAAAACUGCUGACAUGUUCAUAUAACAAUAAAAAAGUGAAUGUUUGAUGGGCAGAACUACCCUGAUAUAAGAUGCAGUGUCUUGUACAUAAUCACAGAAAACUCUAAAAUGAUUUUAGGCUAUAGGGGAGUGCUUUAAAAAGCAUCAAAGCAUCUUUUCAGUUGCUUUUUAAAACCACUCUUGUUUCUCAGUUUUUAAGCACUAUCACUCAGCACUGGUUUUGCUUCCUAAUGUUGAUUUACUUUGAGGUGAGCUUUUGUUUCACAAACUUUGUGAAACACACCUGUUUACACACUUUGGCAAUAUGAAGCAAACCUGAAAAUGGCUCAGUAUGUAUUAUUUCAUAACUGAAACCCAGUCAGGUUUCUUUUGUAUUUUAGUAUAAUAUUGUAAGCCACACAGGAAACCUACCUUCAUUUCUAUAGUGACUUAUUGUAGAAUAUUUGUUCAGAUAUUAUCAACCAUAUGAUAUAUUAAAAUUACUCAGUGUUGGCACCACUCCUAAAUACAAGCCCAUGUACAUGCAUUAUAGCUCCAUUUGGAUAUUAAGAGUAUAAACUGAGUUUCAUUUUCUGACAGAUGACAAAUAAAGUUACCAUCAAAGCAGGUGGAAUAAUAAUCAGAUGAAAAGAGACACUGUGAAAUUUCCUGAAACAUCUUUUUUCAUUAUUUACAAAAAGAUAGGUCAAGUGUAUCUUGUAUGACAAAUGGUGCUCCUUUUCCUACUGAAAUCAGUGACUAAGCUACUCUGACUUCACUGGCAGAAUAAGCUGUUCCUGCUAGGCAGUAAAAAUGCAAACCCUGACUGUGUCUUCAUGGAGUUCAGUAUAAACUUGCAUUAACUCCACCCAAGUCUAACUGGAGUUUGAGUAUUGCA